rnacentral:rRNA from 1 species
GAUGAACGCUGGCGGCGUGCCUAAUACAUGCAAGUCGAGCGAACAGACGAGGAGCUUGCUCCUUCGACGUUAGCGGCGGACGGGUGAGUAACACGUAGGUAACCUACCUAUAAGACUGGGAUAACUUCGGGAAACCGGAGCUAAUACCGGAUAAUAUUUCGAACCGCAUGGUUCGAUAGUGAAAGAUGGCUUUGCUAUCACUUAUAGAUGGACCUGCGCCGUAUUAGCUAGUUGGUAAGGUAACGGCUUACCAAGGCAACGAUACGUAGCCGACCUGAGAGGGUGAUCGGCCACACUGGAACUGAGACACGGUCCAGACUCCUACGGGAGGCAGCAGUAGGGAAUCUUCCGCAAUGGGCGCAAGCCUGACGGAGCAACGCCGCGUGAGUCAUGAAGGUCUUCGGAUCGUAAAACUCUGUUAUUAGGGAAGAACAAACGUGUAAGUAACUGUGCACGUCUUGACGGUACCUAAUCAGAAAGCCACGGCUAACUACGUG